rnacentral:rRNA from 1 species
AGGGUAGCGAAAGGGAUUAGAUACCCCUGUAGUCCUAGCAGUAAACGGUGCACGCUUGGUGUGAGGGGAAUCGACCCCCCUUGUGCCGGAGCUAACGCGUUAAGCAUGCCGCCUGGGAAGUACGGUCGCAAGACUAAAACUCAAAGAAAUUGACGGGGACCCGCACAAGCGGUGGAGUAUGUGGCUUAAUUCGAUGCAACGCGAAGAACCUUACCAAGGCUUGACAUGCAUCUCUAAACACGUGAAAGCGUGUGACCCUUCGGGGAAUUUGCACAGGUGCUGCAUGGCCGUCGUCAGCUCGUGUCGUGAGAUGUUGGGUUAAGUCCCGCAACGAGCGCAACCCUUGUGAUUAGUUGCCAGCACGUUAAGGUGGGAACUCUAGUCAGACUGCCCAGAUCAACUGGGAGGAAGGUGGGGACGACGUCAGGUCAGUAUGGCCCUUACGCCUUGGGCUGCACACGUACUACAAUGCCCAGCACAAUGAGAACCGAUACCGCGAGGUGGAGGAAAUCUGUAAAACUGGGCUCAGUUCGGAUUGGAGGCUGCAACUCGCCUCCAUGAAGUUGGAAUCGCUAGUAAUGGGGCAUCAUCUACGGCCCCGUGAAUACGUUCCCGGGUCUUGUACACACCGCCCGUCACAUCAUGGAAGCCGGUCGCACCCGAAGUGCUCGUACCAACC